AGACCUAUCCCCGCCGUUCCCAUAUGUCCUGUGGGGUCUUCAUCCCAUAUGGACCUGACCCCACUGAGCCACUUGGGGUCCUGAUCCCAUAGAGACCCAUCCCUGCCGUUCCCUUUCAGCCUUGGGGUCCUGAUCCCAUAGGAUCCCAUCCCCACUGUGGAUGUUUUCCCUUUGGGGUCUCAAUCCCGUGGAGACCCACCCCCACCGUUCCCAUAUGUCCUGUGGGGUCUUCAUCCCAUAUGGACCUGACCCCAUUGAGCCCUUUGGGGUCCUGAUCCCAUGGAGACCCAUCCCCGCUGUUCCCAUAUGUCCUGUGGGGUCUUCAUCCCAUAUGGACCUGACCCCACUGAGCCACUUGGGGUCUCAAUCCCAUGGAGACCCAUCCCCGCUGUUCCCAUAUGUCCUGUGGGGUCUCAAUCCCAUAGAGACCCAUCCCUGUCAUCCCAUUUGCCCCAUGGGGUCCUGAUCUCAUAGGAUCCCAUCCCCACUGUGGAUGUUUUCCCUUUGGGGUCUCGAUCCCAUGGAGACCCAUCCCUGCCAUUCCCAUAUGUCCUGUGGGGUCUCAAUCCCAUAUGGACCUGACCCCAUUGAGCCCUUUGGGGUCCUGAUCCCAUAGAGACCCACCCCUGCCGUUCCCUUACAGCUUUGGGGUCCUGAUCCCAUAGGAUCCCAUCCCCACUGGGGUCGGUGCCCUUUGGGGUCUCAGUCCCAUGGGGUCCCCCCCCACCGUCCCCAUUCACCCCGUGGGCUCACAGGAUCCCAUCCCACUGCAGAUGUGAUGUGCGUCCUUUGGGGUCCUGGUCCCAGGACGUCCAUCCGUGUGUCCCCAAGGUGUCCGUGUGUCCCACAUGUCCCUGUCCCCAUGAUGCCCACGUGUCCCAUGUCAUCCUGUCCCAAGGUGUCCAUGUGUCCCACACAGCUUUGUCCCCAAGGUGUCCGUGUGUCCUCUGUGUCCCUGUCCCCAAGGUGUCCCUCUAUGGGUCUCAUGUGGUUUUGUCCCCAAGGUGUCCGUGUGUCCCUGUCCCCAGGAUGUCCAUCCAUGUCCCCAAUGUGUCCCCAUCCCAAGACGUCCGUCCGUGUGUCCCACAUGCUCCUGCCCCCAAGGUGUCCGUGUGUCCUACACAGCUUUGUCCCCAAGAUGUCCAUCCAUGUGCCCUACGUGUCCCAUGUCAUCCUGUCCCCAGGAUGCCAUCCACGUGUCCCCGUGUCCCUGUCCCCAAGAUGUCCUUUUAUGGGUCCCACACUGCCUUGUCCCCAAGGUGUCCGUGUGUCCCAUGUGGUUUUGUCCCCAAGAUGUCCAUGUUUCCCACACAGCUUUGUCCCCAAGGUGUCCGUGUGUCCUCUGUGUCCCUGUCCCCAAGGUGUCCCUCUAUGGGUCCCAAUACUGCCUUGUCCCCAAGGUGUCUGUGUGUCCCUGUCCCCAGGACGUCCAUCCAUGUCCCCAAUGUGUCCCCAUCCCCGAGACGUCCGUCCGUGUGUCCCACAUGCUCCUGUCCCCAGGGUGUCCGUGUGUCCCACACAGCUUUGUCCCCAAGGUGUCCAUCCAUGUGCCCUACGUGUCCCAUGUCAUCCUGUCCCCAGGAUGCCAUCCAUGUGUCCCUGUGUCCCUGUCCCCAAGAUGUCCUUUUAUGGGUCCCACACUACCUUGUCCCCAAGGUGUCUGUGUGUCCCCGUCCCCAAGAUGCCCAUAGGUGUCCACACAGCUUUGUCCCCAGGAUGCCAUCCAGUGUCCCCCGUGUCCCUGUCCCCACGCUGUCCUUUUAUGGGUCCCAUGUGCUUUUGUCCCCAACAUGUCCGUGUGUCAGGAUGUCCGUCCGUGUGUCCCACACAGCUUUGUCCCCAAGCUGUCCAUCCCAGUACCCACAUGGUGGCCCCACGGUGCCCACGCCCAGGUAAUCAGACACAAAACCCCCCAAAACCCCCACAAACCCAUCAUCUCUGAGAAAACCUCUUUAAAUACAGCAGCACAGAAAAGGGCCGUGGGGGCAGCGGCGUCAGCACUGCGCCGCGUCCUCAAAGCUGGGGUUGGCGAAGGCUGCGCCCCACACCGCGCCGGCCUUGGUGCCCUCCGUGCCACCGGGUUUGGUGUCACCAACGUCAACUGUGGUGCCCUCUGUGCCAAACCUGGUGCCCCCCGUGCCAAAUCCAGUGCCCCCUGUGCCGGAUCUGGUGUCUUCAGUACCGGAUCUGGUGCCCUCCACGUCAUCUUUGAUGCCCUCCAUGCCAUCUUUGGUGCCCUCCACGCUGAGCGGUGCGGGACCUGCGGGCGCAGCGGGACGGGGUCACCCCCAGAUGGUGGGACGGGGGACCCUUGGGGUGGGGGGGGCGGGGGGGGGGUCCGGGGUCCGCACCCAUGUAGCUGAGCAGGACGGGCAGGAAGACGAGGCCGUGAGCGAGGCCCACCAGCGUGAUGAUGAAAUUGAGACGGAAGAAGAAGAUCUGGAUGAGCUGCGCUUUGGCGAAGGCCAAAACCACGACGCCCGGCAGGUUGGUCAUGGCCACCCCGGCCACCACCUGGCAUCGGGGACACGUGGGGUGAGGCGUGGGGCGAGGCGUGGGGCGAGGUUCGGGGUGACCCACGCGUCCCCGCGCCCCACACCUUGCUGCCCAUGUUGAUGGUGGCCUCGGCCGCGCGCUCCACGCGGGUGGG
ensembl:lncRNA